AUUGAACGCUGGCGGCAUGCCUUACACAUGCAAGUCGAACGGCAGCACGGGGCAACCUGGUGGCGAGUGGCGAACGGGGGAGUAAUGCAUCGGAACGUACCUUUCAGUGGGGGAUAACGUAGCGAAAGUUACGCUAAUACCGCAUAUUCUGUGAGCAGGAAAGCAGGGGAUCGCAAGACCUUGCGCUGAUUGAGCGGCCGAUGUCAGAUUAGCUAGUUGGGGAGGUAAAGGCCCACCAAGGCGACGAUCUGUAGCGGGUCUGAGAGGAUGAUCCGCCACACUGGAACUGAGACACGGUCCAGACUCCUACGGGAGGCAGCAGUGGGGAAUUUUGGACAAUGGGGGCAACCCUGAUCCAGCCAUGGCGGGUGAGUGAAGAAGGCCUUCGGGUUGUAAAGCUCUUUCGGCCGGGAAGAAAUCGCACGAGCUAAUACCCUGUGUGGAUGACGGUACCGGAAUAAGAAGCACCGGCUAACUACGUGCCAGCCGCCGCUGUAAUAC
rnacentral:rRNA from 1 species